UAGCUUUUUUCCAAGGUUCAUGUCUACUGGUAGUAAACUUCAACUACAUAGGAGAAUGACCUGGAGAGACUUUGAUACCACAGAUUAACAUAAUAACUGUAGCUGUCCCUCGCCUUCCCUGUAUUU
ensembl:snoRNA